UUUCCAAACACUUGGUUAAAAAAACAAAAGCAUUCUUUCCCUCUCCCAACCCAAAGCAACUGCAGCUCCCCAUUCUGGUUCUUCUCCCCUAUCAGCUAGCCAUCUAUGCAACAUUCUUUCCAUUUCCCAAUUCUGGUUCUUCUCCCCCGAUCUAUGCAACAAAAGCCUCUCCCCUAUCUAGGUUUUUGACACAGAAGAGUAUCCUCAACCUCUCAUCUAUCUAGGUUAACAAGACACUGUUGUGGAGUUCUUCGAUUUCAAGAACGAGUCCAAAGUCUUGAUUCACUGUUGUUGCACGAUUUGGGUCUUAGCGAUAUCGACCAGCCAUGGACCUUAGCUGCUUGGACUUGGGUUGCAUAGAGGUCUCAAACAAGCAAGGCGCUCAUCAGCCCAGUCUUGACUCUCACCAUAAACAAAACUAGUCGCUUACGGUGAGCUCCAAGAUCGGAAAGAGGCGACUCUUCAUUAUUGAACCUUCUUUGAUGGCUUUGACUCACAAGUACAAUCAGGAGAAGAUGAUUUGCAGAAAGUGCUUAGCCUUGGAUUCUUGUUUUGUUGCUGAGAAAUUUAAUUGUCGAGACUCGAUCAUCUAUACAAGUUGUGGUAGUUGUGUUUGUGUAAAUCAUGGAAACUGGAAUAAGAUGAACAUACUGCAUUUGAAUUUGGUUUUGUGUUUUCAAUUUGGUUGGCAGAAAGAAUAAUUUAAUUAUUUGUAAAACUUGGACUCUUCUCAUUUAUUUCUUGGUGACAAGUCAAUUAAAACAGAUCAUUAAGGAAUCAAUUUCUCGUCAUUUUGAGCCAUUGCUCAAACCUUUCUCUGGUAUGUGUCUUGAUUUGGGUAAAAGUACUUGUUUGGUUAAUGCAAGAGGCAUGAACACUUACUUGCCUUACAACUAGGACUGAAACCUGGGUAGAAGGUUUGCCUUCUCAAGUAGACUUAUUGUAACACAAAUUAUUAAGCUGGAUAUACUUUAGCAUUUGGUUCAAUAUGUUGACUUGGUUUUUGGUAUCUUUUGGUGCUAGGUUUUGGAUGUAGGUUGUGGAAUCGGAAGACCACUUAGAGAAAUAACACACUUCAGCUCAACGUCAAUUACUGGGUUGAACCACUACUAGCAUAUGCCUUAUAGAACACUUUAAUUUUUCUAUAUCUUUUGCUCUAGGGAAUAUGGAUAACCGUAUCAAAAAGUCAUUAGGUACGGUGCAGCCACGGAAUGAAAAAGUGUAUCCUCUAUUGCAGGCUCCAGUAACCAAAAGCCACGCUUUUGACUUUGGUGUC